GAUGAACGCUAGCGACAGGCUUAACACAUGCAAGUCGAGGGGUAGCAGGAUAGAAGCUUGCUUUUAUUGCUGACGACCGGCGCACGGGUGAGUAACGCGUAUGCAACCUACCUAUCAGAGGGGGAUAGCCCAUCGAAAGAUGGAUUAAUACCGCAUAAAACAGGGGCCUCGCAUGAGGAUAUUUGUUAAAGAGAUUCGCUGAUAGAUGGGCAUGCGUUCCAUUAGUUAGUUGGUGAGGUAACGGCUCACCAAGACAUCGAUGGAUAGGGGUUCUGAGAGGAAGGUCCCCCACACUGGUACUGAGACACGGACCAGACUCCUACGGGAGGCAGCAGUGAGGAAUAUUGGUCAAUGGGCGAGAGCCUGAACCAGCCAAGUCGCGUGAAGGAUGACUGCCCUAUGGGUUGUAAACUUCUUUUAUAUGGGAAUAAAAAACACUACGUGUAGUGUAUUGCAUGUACCAUAAUGAAUAAGCAUCGGCUAACUCCGUGCCAGCAGCCGCAGUAAAAC
rnacentral:rRNA from 1 species